rnacentral:lncRNA from 1 species
CCCCCCCCCCCCCCCCCCCCCCCCCCCCCGGCCGAGCCCGGGGGGCCGUCGGGGGCUGCGCGCUGGGCUCCGACGAGCCGCUGUUGUGCGCGAUGGCGAGUUCGCCUCGGGGGAGCGGGGCGGGGUGAGCGGGGGCCCGGGAGAAAUCGCGUAGGGAAACGACCCGAGGGGAGCUGGGGAUCGCCGCGGGUGCCGGAGCUCUGCGUCUGACAAGGGGCAGCGGUGCUCGCCGCCGCUUCCCGCGGCAGACUUGUGAACUCCUGGCGGGUCCCCGGCGGCGCCGGGAUUUGCCCGGGCCAGACGGCUCGGGGGGAGGCGGGGGCGCGGGCAGCCGUCCAGCCCCGAGGCGUGCGCCGAGCAGAGCCGGCUCGUUCUCCCGGUUAGGCGCCUGCCGGUGGCGGGUUAAUCUCGGAUGAAGGGUUUAGCUGGGCGAGCGCGGCCCGCCCGCGCUAUUAGCCGGAUCGGUGCGUGUGCGCGCCGCGGCGGUGAUUAGCUUUUAAUGGCUUCUGCCCGAAGCAAGGCGGGCGGCGGUGCCGGCCGAGCGCUGGGGCCGCCGCCGCGCUCACCCCUCUGCUCUCCGCAGGCAGGGCAGGGGACAGCGGCCGCCCGCUGCCGUCUUCCCCGGGCACCGGAGCCGCGGUCUCCCGGGCAGGAGCUGGGACCGGCCCGCCGUCGCCCCUCGCAUUGCCGCCGCUCAGGGCCAGCAACGCUUCCCACACGAAAUGCCCUUGGGGUUGGACCAGUGCCACCUUCCAUGAAAAGCCCCUGGAAAACUCACUGUGGCUCAACAGGGGAAGACCAAAUCUUCCUAAUGAGGAGGAAAGAGAGAGAACUCUUGGCAAAGCUGUUGCUUGUUUCAGGAGGGCUCACACUGGGCAUCAAGGUGAGCUUUGGUACUGGCACAGUCUGCUCAGGGUCCUUGGCUCAGCAUCGCUGCUGGACAGCACAGAAUGACCACAUGUUAUUGCACAUGUAACCCAGACACCCAGCAUUCCUUUCUCCUGUGCUCCACAGUCACACUGAUUCCUCUAAUGGAGGUAGAAAGGUAAUUAAUGUCUGCACAAGUAAAAUGAAUAAACACGUAUUUCUAAUUGCAUUUUUUUGUAUUUAUUCACAUUUC